AAUCUCAGGUCAGCUCAGUCUUUUUCAUUAGCGGACUUACCACUUAGACAAAUGUGACUGACACUUAAACAAAUUACUCUGUCGAGACUGACACGUAGACAAAUUUUUGUUAUCCAAAAAAUUUAGAUCUAUUUUCUCUCGAAGUCCAACUUUAUCAAAUCCAUUUUCUCUCCCCUCUAAACCCAUUCUACUCGUAUCUAUUUUUCGUGUUUGCCGAUCGUAGUUUCAACUUUUAUGCCACAGAUCCGGGGUUCGCUGAUCAGAACUUCAACUUUUAUGCCAUUUCCCGAAGCUCUCUCUCAUUUCCUCUGCAGCCUUACUAGAGUUUUGAAAGACAAGCGAGGCUAAAAAAAUUCCCAAUUCAUCAUCAUGAAGGCCAAGGUAUAAUUAAUUUCCCCUCAUCCGAUUGAUCUUUCUCUUUUAAAUUUUUGUAAAGAAUAUGUUGUAACUCAUAAUAUUUAAUUUGAGUAUUACCAACGAUUAUUUCAAUUUGGUUUUGAUUCUUUUCAGUGGAAGAAUAAAAGAAUGACAAGGUUGAAGAGAGAGCAACGAAAGAUGAGGCAUAGAUCUUGGUAGAAGAUUGUUUGAUAAAAUUAUUUUUCUUUAAUUUUAUUUAAUAGAAAUUUAUUUUAUUUUGGAACAAAAGAAAAAUAUUGAGACUAUUCAAAUUCUAUUUAACUUCUAAUUAUUAUUAAUAUGUAAUUUACAUAAUUAAUACUAAUAAGUAUAGUUAAAUAUAUAAUUAUAUAGUUACAAUGUAACUUAUACAUGUGUACUAAUAAGUAUAGUUAAAUAUAUAUAUAUAUAUAUAUAUAUAUAUAUAUAUAUAUAUAUACACACACACACACAUAAGAGAUAUGAUAUGCAUAUGAUAUAUAGAGAAGUUACAUGGAAGAUUUACAUAAGUGAACUUUUCUUCUAUCUUCUCCAUUCUUCUUACAAAUAAAUAACUACUACAAAGUAGUGUUCAAUUGGAAUUUUCUAUGUAUUGUUAUCACGGAUUAUUCACCGAGACUUGACAUAUAUCCUAGAGGUAUAUCGUCUGUAACCCAUACCAAACCGAUCGUGGUGGGGGCAAUAAAGACCUUAAGAAC
rnacentral:lncRNA from 1 species